rnacentral:rRNA from 1 species
UAUGUGAUCGUCUCUCGCAUAUCAAUAAGCGGAGGAAAAGAAACUAACAAGGAUUCCCCUAGUAACGGCGAGUGAAGCGGGAAGAGCUCAAAUUUGAAAUCUUAAAGGGUUUCCCUUUACGAAUUGUAGUUUAAAGAAGUGUUUUCUGUUGAGGUUUUGGUAAAAGUUCUUUGGAAUAGGACAUCAUAGAGGGUGAGAAUCCCGUAUUUGACCUUUACUUUCAACUUUGUGAUACACUUUCAAAGAGUCGGAUUGUUUGGGAAUGCAGUCCAAAAUGGGUGGUAAAUUUCAUCUAAAGCUAAAUAUUGGCGAGAGACCGAUAGCGAACAAGUACCGUGAGGGAAAGAUGAAAAGAACUUUGAAAAGAGAGUUAAACAGUACGUGAAAUUGUCAAAAGGGAAGCGUUUGACACCAGUGUUGUUUUUCUGAAAAUCAAUUAAAGAACUGUUUAUGCUAAGCUGUUUAGACUUUAUCAGCUAUCUGUUUAGUUUUGAGCUUUUCUUUAAUGCACUUUUCAGUUAACAAGUCAACAUCAAUUUCUUUUGCUGUAAAAAAGCUUGAGGAAGGUGGCUUGAGAUUCGUCUUAAGUGUUUAUAGCCUCUUGCCUAUGCAGUCGGAUGAGAUUGAGGUCUGCAGCGUAGAUCCUUCGGGGCUAAAUGCAUUUGUGCUAAGUUAUAGCAUUUUAUAGACAACUUGUUGACUAUGAUUUGUCUUGUAGCUUACUCGCUUAUGUUAUUUUACCUACGCUUAGGAUGUUGAGCUGCAUGUCUCUCUCU